AUUGAACGCUGGCGGCAUGCUUUACACAUGCAAGUCGAACGGUAACAGGGAAAAGCUUGCUUUUCUGCUGACGAGUGGCGAACGGGUGAGUAAUACAUCGGAACGUGCCCUGUAGUGGGGGAUAACUACUCGAAAGAGUGGCUAAUACCGCAUACAACCUGAGGGUAAAAGUGGGGGACCGCAAGGCCUCACGCUAUAGGAGCGGCCGAUGGAAGAUUAGGUAGUUGGUAGGGUAAAGGCCUACCAAGCCGACGAUCUUUAGCGGGUCUGAGAGGACGAUCCGCCACACUGGGACUGAGACACGGCCCAGACUCCUACGGGAGGCAGCAGUGGGGAAUUUUGGACAAUGGGGGCAACCCUGAUCCAGCAAUGCCGCGUGAGUGAAGAAGGCCUCGGUUGUAAAGCUCUUUCAGGUGGAAGAAAUAGACGCUGUUUAAUAG
rnacentral:rRNA from 1 species